GACGAACCGUGCGAACGUUGUUCGGAAUCACUGGGCUUAAAGGGAGCGUAGGCGGGCUGCCAAGUCCGGGGUGAAAUCCUCCAGCUUAACUGGAGAACUGCCUCGGAUACUGGAAGUCUCGAGGAGGGUAGGGGCAAGUGGAACUGUGGGUGGAGCGGUGAAAUGCGUUGAUAUCCAUGGGAACUCCGGUGGCGAAGGCGACUUGCUGGACCCUUUCUGACGCUGAGGCUCGAAAGCCAGGGGAGCAAACGGG
rnacentral:rRNA from 1 species